rnacentral:rRNA from 1 species
AUUGAACGCUGGCGGCAUGCCUUACACAUGCAAGUCGAACGGCAGCGGGCCUUCGGGUGCCGGCGAGUGGCGAACGGGUGAGUAAUGCAUCGGAACGUGCCAUUGAGUGGGGGAUAACGUAGCGAAAGUUACGCUAAUACCGCAUAUUCUGUGAGCAGGAAGGCAGGGGACCGCAAGGCCUUGCGCUCUUUGAGCGGCCGAUGUCAGAUUAGCUAGUUGGUGAGGUAAAGGCUUACCAAGGCGACGAUCUGUAGCGGGUCUGAGAGGAUGAUCCGCCACACUGGAACUGAGACACGGUCCAGACUCCUACGGGAGGCAGCAGUGGGGAAUUUUGGACAAUGGGCGCAAGCCUGAUCCAGCCAUGCCGCGUGAGUGAAGAAGGCCUCGGUUGUAAG